CUACCUCGUAAAGAAAAACUAUUCUAAAACUUUUUUCCGCGUUUUACCCUCUUUUCCGCGUUUUACCCCCUUUUCCGCGUUUUACCCCCUUUUCCGCGUUUUACCCUCUUUUCCGCGUUUUACCCUCUUUUCCGCGUUUUACCCUUUUUUCCGCGUUUUACCCUCUUUUCCGCGUUUUACCCUCUUUUCCACGUUUUACCCUCUUUUCCGUUUCCGUUUUUCCGGUUCCGCCGGUCCGUUCCGUUCCGUUUCCGCGUUUUACCCCUACCCAAUAAA